rnacentral:tRNA from 1 species
GGUGGUAUGGCCGAGGAGUUAGGCAGCGGACUGCAAAUCCGUGUACGGGGGUGCGAAUCCCUCUACCACCUCCA